UGGGGAAUAUUGGACAAUGGGGGCAACCCUGAUCCAGCAAUACCGCGUGUGUGAAGAAGGCCUUCGGGUUGUAAAGCACUUUCAGCGAGGAGGAAGGCCAAGUAGUUAAUACCUGCUUGGAUUGACGUUACUCGCAGAAGAAGCACCGGCUAACUCCGUGCCAGCAGCCGCGGUAAUACGGAGGGUGCAAGCGUUAAUCGGAAUUACUGGGCGUAAAGCGCGCGUAGGCGGAUAAUUAAGUCAGAUGUGAAAGCCCAGGGCUCAACCUUGGAAUUGCAUUUGAUACUGGUUAUCUAGAGUACAGCAGAGGGGGGUGGAAUUUCAGGUGUAGCGGUGAAAUGCGUAGAUAU
rnacentral:rRNA from 1 species